CCUACGGGUGGCUGCAGUGGGGAAUAUUGCACAAUGGGGGAAACCCUGAUGCAGCGACGCCGCGUGAGUGAAGAAGUCCCUCUUUAUGUAAAGCUUUAUUAGCAGGGAAGAAAAUGACGGUACCUGAGUACUAUGCCCCGGCUAACUACGUGCCAGCCGCCGCGGUCAUACGUAGGGGGCAAGCGUUAUCCGGAUUUACUGGGGGUAACGGGAGCGUAGGCGGCAGUGCAAGUCUGGAGUGAAAGGCGGGGGCUCAACCCCCGGACUGCUGUUGAAACUGUACGGCUGGAGUGCGGGAGAGGUAAGUGGAAUUCGUGGUGUAGCGGUGAAAUGCGUAGAUAUUAGGAAGAACACCAGUGGCGAAGGCGGCAUACUGGACUGUAACUGACGUUGAGGCUCGAAAGCGUGGGGAGCGAACAGGAUUAGAUACCCUUGUAGUC
rnacentral:rRNA from 1 species